GACGAACGCUGGCGGCGUGCUUAUCACAUGCAAGUCGAACGGUAAGGCCCUUCGGGGUACACGAGUGGCGGACGGGUGAGUAACACGUGGGUGAUCUGCCCUGCACUUCGGGAUAAGCCUGGGAAACUGGGUCUAAUACCGGAUAGGACCACUGCCUGCAUGGGUGGUGGUGGAAAGCUUUUGCGGUGUGGGAUGGGCCCGCGGCCUAUCAGCUUGUUGGUGGGGUGAUGGCCUACCAAGGCGACGACGGGUAGCCGGCCUGAGAGGGUGACCGGCCACACUGGGACUGAGUUACGGUCCAGACUCCUACGGGAGGCAGCAGUGGGGAAUAUUGCACAAUGGGCGCAAGCCUGAUGCAGCGACGCCGCGUGAGGGAUGACGGCCUUCGGGUUGUAAACCUCUUUCAGCACCGACGAAGCGCAAGUGACGGUAGGUGCAGAAGAAGGACCGGCCAACUACGUGCCAGCAGCCGCCGUAA
rnacentral:rRNA from 1 species